UCGGUUAGUGCAUUCUCUGGUGCCUUUUCUGACAGCAAUGGGAAAGUCUAGGUCUAGGUUGUCUGUUGAGUCAAUGGAAGUUUCACCAGGUUGUGUAUGUAAAGGUGGGUCUGAUCUUACAAUGGGAAGGUCUAGGUCUAGGUUGUCUGUUGAGUUAGUGGAAGUUUCACCAGGUUGUGUAUGUAAAGGUGGGUCUGAUCUUACCGUGAUUUCAUUCCCAAGGUCUGAGUUGGAUUCUUGGACCUGCUUUUGUUCUGGAAUGGCCUUUUCCCUUGAAUACACCUUAGGAAACUGUGGAAAAUUGUGAGUGACACUGGCUGGAACAGAGGAUGACACAGGUUCUUCAUCACCAUGGGUUGAGACAUGAGGAAGAUCAAGAGGUUCAAAGGACACAUAAGGACUAUCUUCCAU
rnacentral:lncRNA from 1 species